ACAUUUCUUUAAGAUUAAAUUUAAAGUAUAUCCUGCCCUAUGAUUAUAUAUUAAAUGGCUGCAGUAUAUUGACUGUGCAAAGGUAGCAUAAUAAUUAGUUUUUUAAUUGGGGACUAGAAUGAAUGGAUUUACGAGAUAUAUAUUUUAUUGGUUUUAUAAUUAAAAUUUAAUUUUUUUGUAAAAAAGCUUAAUUAGUUAAUUGGGACGAAAAGACCCUAAAGAACUUUUAUAAUAUUAAUAUUUAUUUAGAAUUAUUUUAUUUUAUUUAUUUUUACUGGGGUGGUAAAUAAAUUUAUUAACUUUAUUUUUUAUGUUCAUUAAUUUAUGUUUAAAUGAUCCUAUUUGAUUAUAAGAUUAAGUUACCUUAGGGAUAACAGCGUUAUUUAAAUGGUAAGUUCAUAUUUAUAUUUAAGUUUGCGACCUCGAUGUUGAAUUAAGGUUAGAUUAAGGGGUAGUUUUUUUAUGUCUAAGUCUGUUCGACUUUUAAAUCCUUACAUGAUCUG
rnacentral:rRNA from 1 species